ensembl:lncRNA
AGAUUGCGUGGCAUAUCCAACAUACUGUUUUACUUUUGUCCAUGAUGCGCUUACUAUCAGGGUCAUGCUUCACAUGAAAACCAAGAUAGUUCUAAACGCCAGAUCUGAAUGAUGGAGGGGGAGGUUCAAUUUCGGGUAGCGUUGAGGCAGUUGCCAUGUUGCAACGAGCUUAGCUUCUGUCUCACUAGCUUGCGCUGCGCUCAGUGGAUCUGCGCUCGACAGUGCAGCCUAGGCGAAGUAGUCGAACGCAGAUCCACUGAGCUGUUGGUUAGCACUGAUUAUUUAUACAUGGAAUGUUUUCUUUGGUUUUUGGGUUUUUUUUUUGGUUGUUUUAACUCUUGAUACUGUAUGGUGUCACUGAGAGGUAAUAUGCUUAACAUGUUAUCUCAGAUACAUAAACCACACUGACCUUGUUCAAAUCAGAUAAUCCUGUCAUUAAAGGAGAAAGAAUGCCCCCGCUGUUUCAGCUCAUGAAUUCAGUGGCCGCAAUUAAAUAUAGGUAUAAAGAUAGAGAUUGUUUUGAACUGUAAACCAUGCAGAGAUACUAUAGUAAAGUCCAAUAAUAAAAUAUAUGGGGGUGGCCGUGAAAAAAAUAAGUCUCUUUAAAAUUCCCAGAUUGUAGCUGACUGUUAAAAAAAAAAAAUCUUUCCUUUGUCUUGUUUUCUUCAGCCUAUAGUAUAUAUUUGUAUUGCAAGAGCAGUGCAGAAUAAUAACUGAGGCAUGUGGAAUAUUUACAUUAUGCAUUGUGGGCUAUAUUCGCAAAAGUGUUUCCAAUAAUUUCACUACUGCAUCUCUGUGGUCCCCAAAGAAAACCAAAGAAGAAGCUGAGGAGGCCAUAAGAAUGUGACAUUGCUGGAGAUUAAAAAAAAAGUUCCCCUGAAUUGCAUUUAACCCUUUAAUGCCUAGUGCGUCAUAUUUCAUGCAUAGCCUACAGUUUUUUGUCAGUUUUUGGGACUUCAACAUCAUCAGUGUGAUUUCUUCCCCCUAAAAAAACACAAAUAAAUGGUACAAUACAUUUUUAUGUAAUUAAAAACACAGAUAAGCAAAUAUGAUACAAAUUAACUGUCAUAUAUGGAAAAUGAAAUGUGAUUUAUUGAAAAAAUUACAAAAAAAUUAACAAAAGGAUGUUAAAAAACCCCACUAUUUUCAAAAAAAAAAAAAAAGUGUUAGCUUGGUGUCCUCUCUACAUGAAAGGGAAGAGAAGUUAAGAACACCAGAAACAAAAUUGUAGACCUUCUCCAGGCUGGGAAGACUGAAUCUGCAAUAGAUACGCAGCUUGGUUUGAAGAAACUGCUCGACUGUUUCUGUACAGUGUGAGGUUACUGGGGAAAGGAGCUUUGUUUACUAAUGCUUGUGUAUAACAACAAAGGGGCUUAAGACAUGAUGGUUUUUAAAAACAUGCAAAAAGAAAGACAAAAUGAAAAAAUAAAAGUAACAUAAACAAUAGCCAUGUUAUUGGAUGUAGUGCUGUCUUACUUGUUUUCUGCUUUUUCUUCAGCUGCAGUGCUCUGAAAUUUCCUGGUCACCUGAGUAAAACAGGUUUAUGUUUCUAAAUAAACAAUCAAAC